ensembl:ncRNA F27C8.11 ncRNA
GGCAAAGAAAAAGACGAAAAACAUGGCAAUUAUUCAUGAAAAGCGGUGUCCCAAAUCGAAUUAGCACCACUUCUUCAAUUGAUA